rnacentral:rRNA from 1 species
GACGAACGCUGGCGGCGUGCUUAACACAUGCAAGUCGAACGAGGGACCAGAGCUUGCUCUGGUUACCCGAGUGGCGAACGGGUGAGUAACACGUGACCAACCUACCUUUGGGAGGGGGACAACCUGGGGAAACCUGGGCUAAUACCGCAUAUUGUCCACUAAUCGCAUGGUUUAUGGAUAAAAGAGAGCCUCUGCUUGCAAGCUCUCACCCAAAGAGGGGGUCGCGGCGUAUCAGCUUGUUGGUGAGGUAAUGGCUCACCAAGGCUACGACGCGUAGCGGGUCUGAGAGGACGAUCCGUCACAUUGGGACUGAGAUACGGCCCAG